rnacentral:lncRNA from 1 species
GUGUAACGCGUUUGAUUGUGGACCAUGGUACGCGCGCGCUUUUGGACCGCCUGAUAUGUCCAUGUCAUUUAAUGAAAUGGAUCAAGCGCUCCCUGAUUUUUCUCUUUUUUUAAAUUUCUAUUUUAUUUUCUUUAUUUCUCUUUUAUUUCAAGAAUUCGUAACUAUUUUAUUUGGAAUCACAAAAAUAUGAGACCAACACUAAAAAAUUUCUUGAAAAAUCUAGUUUCAUAA